UACGUAGGGCGCAAGCGUUGUCCGGAAUUAUUGGGCGUAAAGAGCUCGUAGGCGGCUUGUCACGUCGGGUGUGAAAGCCCGGGGCUUAACCCCGGGUCUGCAUUCGAUACGGGCUAGCUAGAGUGUGGUAGGGGAGGAUCGGAAUUCCUGGUGUAGCGGUGAAAUGCGCAGAUAUCAGGAGGAACACCGGUGGCGAAGGCGGACCUCUGG
rnacentral:rRNA from 1 species